rnacentral:rRNA from 1 species
GGCGAACGGGUGAGUAACACGUGAGUAAUCUGCCCUUGACUUUGGGAUAACUUCAGGAAACUGGGGCUAAUACCGGAUAGGAGCUCCUGCUGCAUGGUGGGGGUUGGAAAGUUUCGGCGGUUGGGGAUGGACUCGCGGCUUAUCAGCUUGUUGGUGGGGUAGUGGCUUACCAAGGCUUUGACGGGUAGCCGGCCUGAGAGGGUGACCGGCCACAUUGGGACUGAGAUACGGCCCAG